GAUCAUGGCUCAGGACGAACGCUGGCGGCAUGCCUAACACAUGCAAGUCGAACGGAGAUUAUUUCGAUAAUCUUAGUGGCGAACGGGUGAGUAACGCGUGGGCAACCUGCCCUCUAGAUGGGGACAACAUUCCGAAAGGGGUGGCUAAUACCGAAUGUGACAGCAAUCUCGCAUGAGGAUGCUGUGAAAGAUGGCCUCUAUUUAUAAGCUAUCGCUAGAGGAUGGG
rnacentral:rRNA from 1 species